rnacentral:rRNA from 1 species
AGCGAACGCUGGCGGCAGGCUUAACACAUGCAAGUCGAGCGGGCCCUUCGGGGUCAGCGGCAGACGGGUGAGUAACACGUGGGAACGUACCCUUCGGUUCGGAAUAACUCAGGGAAACUUGAGCUAAUACCGGAUACGCCCCUUGGGGAAGGUUUACUGCCGAAGGAUCGGCCCGCGUCUGAUUAGCUAGUUGGUGGGGUAAUGGCCCACCAAGGCGACGAUCAGUAGCUGGUCUGAGAGGAUGAUCAGCCACACUGGGACUGAGACACGGCCCAGACUCCUACGGGAGGCAGCAGUGGGGAAUAUUGGACAAUGGGCGCAAGCCUGA